rnacentral:rRNA from 1 species
UACGUAGGGGGCAAGCGUUGUCCGGAAUCAUUGGGCGUAAAGCGCGUGUAGGCGGUUCAGUAAGUCUGCUGUGAAAGUCCAGGGCUCAACCCUGGGAUGCCGGUGGAUACUGCUGGGCUAGAGUACGGAAGAGGCGAGUGGAAUUCCCGGUGUAGCGGUGAAAUGCGCAGAUAUCGGGAGGAACACCGAUUGCGAAGGCAGCUCGCUGGGACGUUACUGACGCUGAGACGCGAAAGCGUGGGGGGCAAACAGG